rnacentral:rRNA from 1 species
AAUCAACGCUGGCGGCGUGCCUCAGACAUGCAAGUCGAACGAUUAAGACUCUCUUCGGAGAGUGCAUAAAGUGGCGCACGGGUGAGUAACACGUAAGUAAUCUACCUUUGGGUGGGAAUAACAGGUCGGAAACGACUGCUAAUACCGCAUAAUGCAGCGGCUCCUUAUGGAGACAGUUGUUAAAGAUUUAUCGCCUAAAGACGGAGCUUGCGGCAGAUUAGCAGUUGGUAAGGUAACGGCUUACCAAGGCGACGAUCUGUAUCCGACCUGAGAGGGUGGUCGGACACACUGACACUGAA